rnacentral:rRNA from 1 species
CAGAUUGAACGCUGGCGGCAGGCCUAACACAUGCAAGUCGAGCGGUAGAGAGAAGCUUGCUUCUCUUGAGAGCGGCGGACGGGUGAGUAAUGCCUAGGAAUCUGCCUGGUAGUGGGGGAUAACGUUCGGAAACGGACGCUAAUACCGCAUACGUCCUACGGGAGAAAGCAGGGGACCUUCGGGCCUUGCGCUAUCAGAUGAGCCUAGGUCGGAUUAGCUAGUUGGUGAGGUAAUGGCUCACCAAGGCGACGAUCCGUAACUGGUCUGAGAGGAUGAUCAGUCACACUGGAACUGAGACACGGUCCAGACUCCUACGGGAGGCAGCAGUGGGGAAUAUUGGACAAUGGGCGAAAGCCUGAUCCAGCCAUGCCGCGUGUGUGAAGAAGGUCUUCGGAUUGUAAAGCACUUUAAGUUGGGAGGAAGGGCAGUUACCUAAUACGUGAUUGUUUUGACGUUACCGACAGAAUAAGCACCGGCUAACUCUGUGCCAGCAGCCGCGGUAAUACAGAGGGUGCAAGCGUUAAUCGGAAUUACUGGGCGUAAAGCGCGCGUAGGUGGUUAGUUAAGUUGGAUGUGAAAUCCCCGGGCUCAACCUGGGAACUGCAUUCAAAACUGACUGACUAGAGUAUGGUAGAGGGUGGUGGAAUUUCCUGUGUAGCGGUGAAAUGCGUAGAUAUAGGAAGGAACACCAGUGGCGAAGGCGACCACCUGGA